CCUACGGGAGGCAGCAGUGAGGAAUAUUGGUCAAUGGACGAAAGUCUGAACCAGCCAAGCAGCGUGCAGGAAGACGGCUCUAUGAGUUGUAAACUGCUUUUAUAAGAGGGUAAACGCAGAUACGUGUAUCUGUUUGCAUGUACCGUACGAAUAAGGAUCGGCUAACUCCGUGCCAGCAGCCGCGGUAAUACGGAGGAUUCAAGCGUUAUCCGGAUUUAUUGGGUUUAAAGGGUGCGUAGGCGGUCGGUUAAGUUAGGAGUCAAAUCCCGGGGCUCAACUUCGGAAUUGCCUGUGAUACUAUACGACUAGAGUGUGAGUGCGGUAGGCGGAAUGUAUGGUGUAGCGGUGAAAUGCUUAGAGAUCACGCAGAACAUCGAUUGCGAAGGCAGCAUACC
rnacentral:rRNA from 1 species